GACGAACGCUGGCGGCGUGCUUAACACAUGCAAGUCGAACGGAAAGGCCCUGCUUUUGUGGGGUGCUCGAGUGGCGAACGGGUGAGUAACACGUGAGUAACCUGCCCUUGACUUUGGGAUAACUUCAGGAAACUGGGGCGAAUACCGGAUAGGAGCUCCUGCUGCAUGGUGGGGGUUGGAAAGUUUCGGCGGUUGGGGAUGGACUCGCGGCUUAUCAGCUUGUUGGUGGGGUAGUGGCUUACCAAGGCUUUGACGGGUAGCCGGCCUGAGAGGGUGACCGGCCACAUUGGGACUGAGAUACGGCCCAGACUCCUACGGGCGGCAGCAGUGGGGAAUAUUGCACAAUGGGCGGAAGCCUGAUGCAGCAACGCCGCGUGCGGGAUGACGGCCUUCGGGUUGUAAACCGCUUUCGCCGGUGACGAAGCGUGAGUGACGGUAAUGGGUAAAGAAGCACCGGCUAACUACGUG
rnacentral:rRNA from 1 species